rnacentral:rRNA from 1 species
GACGAACGCUGGCGGCGUGCCUAAUACAUGCAAGUCGAACGCAGUGGGGACGGGCGAGUAACACGUGGGUAACCUCCCAUCAGAGGGGAUAACACUUGGAAAAAGGUGCUAAACCGAUACUGAUGGAUGGACCCGCGGUGCAGUAGCUAGUGGGUGAGGUAACGGCUCACCAAGGCAACGAUGCAUAGCCGACCUGAGAGGGUGAGCGGCCACACUGGGACUGAGACACGGCCCAGACUCCUACGGGAGGCAGAAGUAGGGAAUCUUGGGCAAUGGGCGAAAGUCUGACCGAGCAACGCCGCGUGAGUGAAGAAGGCUUGCGGAUUGUAAAGCUCUGUUGGUAGAGAAGCGGUAUCUAACCAGAAAGCCACGGCUAACUACGUGCCAGCAGCCGCGGUAAUAC